rnacentral:lncRNA from 1 species
CGGAGCGGCGGAGGGAUCCCGCCCUCUCGGAGGAAAGGCUGUGACUCUGCAGUUCUACGCACACGCUGCGGGAUCCUUCCGCUCCGGGUUAACCCCGACCGCGCCGGGCCGGCAGCAGGGCAGACACGUGGGAACGAAGCCCCCCUCCUCUCCGCCGCGGCCCUGGAGCCGCCUCAUUUACCGCCCAGGCCGCGAAACUAGGACUCUGGCCGCUGUCUAAUUCCAUACCCUUGCAGUCGUUGGUCCCUGAAGUUCCAACUGCCCCUUGCUUUGGCCAGGGGCAGUCUUUCCCGGGAGGGGGAUGGAAGAAGAGCCAGGAGAUUGGCCGCUGCUCAGCAUCCUGGGAACUGGAGUCCGCAAAUGGAGAAAGUGAGGCACCACCCCCCCACCAUAAGUCUGGAUGAGAAAACAUUGGAAUGCCUCUUCUGCAUCAACGCACACAUGGGGUGGACAAAAGGAGACAAAUUAACUAUGUCCAGAUACUUUAUAUAUUCUUAGUUAUUCCUCGCCUUCAUUAUGAGUUACAUGGAAUUAUCUCCAUAUUACAGAUGAAGAUUAAGGCUACAAUAGGUAAAAUUGCCCACAGAACUACAUCUAGUGAGAAGUUGAGCCAUUAUUCAAACCAAAGGCCACGUUUUUCCUAGGAUUACAAAUAAUUAUACUACGUUUUUUUAAAAGAAGAUGUGGAGAAAGAGGCAGGCAGAUUCGAUCCAAUGCCAGCUUUGUGAGGAAAGGGUUUACGAUGCUGUCCAAGAGAACUUUUUUUAUUUUUUGAGACAGAGUCUCGCACUGUCGUCCGGGUUGGAGUUCAGUGGUGCGAUCUCGGCUCACUGCAACCUCCGCCUCCCUGGUUCACGCGAUUCUCCUGCCUCAGCCUCCCUAGUAGCCGGGAUUACAGGCGCACACCACCAGACCCGGCUACUUUUUUGUAUUUUUAGUAGAGACAGGGUUUCACUAUGUUGGCCAGCCUGGUCUCGAACUCCUGACCUCGUGAUCCGCUCGCCCUGGUCUCCCAAAGUACUGGGAUUACAGGCAUGCGCCACCGCGCCCGGUCCCAACAGAACUUUUCUACAGUGAUGGAAAUGGACUAAAUCUACACUAUCUAAUAUGGUAGCCAUCAACCACAUGCAGCUCUCGAGCACUUUGAAAUGCAGGUGGUACAAAUUCUGGAUCAGAAAAGCAAAAGCAGCUGUCAGGACUUUUGAAAAUCAGCAUGACAAGCCAUAUCCCCAACUGUAAGCCUGGAGCCAGGCACUGACAAAGUCACAGCUAAAAAUCACAUCUAGGUUUUGUCAAUCCUUCCCAAGUAAGUACAUUGAUAGGGUACCUCGGGCUCCCCCAGUUGUCAGAAGAGGUCUGUACCUUCUCUGUGAAGAUCUACCAUUCAAAUAACCCUUACACAUCCUUGGAGGAGGUAUUAGACUAGUUAGGCAAUCAGGCUGGUGGGAGGGUGGGGAUCAAGAAAAGCAGAGGCAAACAGGACCAAACUUUCCUAGCUGAAAUAUCAAUUCAUUGAGGCGGUAGGCCCAUAAAAGCAGAACCAAUAGCCUUUGACACCUAAAAAAAAGUAGCACACCACCAAAGGUGUAAAAAGUACAAAAAGAUUAAAGGUAUGAAAACAGCAAAGAACGGCCAUUUUAAUGGAAGACACUGGGGACAUGGAGGGCCAGGGGACUGAUAUGCACCGGAGGCAUUAUUUCUUACUUUACUCAACACUCUUGGGAAGUCAAAGUCUUCACAACACUUUAGUCUCUGCCUCUACACUCCUUCUCAAUUCUUACAUCAUUAGGAAUGAGGGGCUUCCUUUCUUCUCCUGAAACCCCAUCAUCUUUGAAUCCAAGCAAAUGCCGAGGCCCCAGGAAGACAGCUAGGUCAGCAUGUUGCAGUUGGCCACUAGAGGGUGGUGUUUCUGUAAUUAAGGGGAUCUUGAAAGGCUACAAAACUUGGAUGGGAGUGGCAGCCAACUGGACUUAGUAUAUGAGGAACCCAGCAGAAUAGAAAGGUGGGAAAGGCAAGUAGUAAAUCUUAGGAUAAUGGUCCUUAAUAAGUGAGGAAUAAGGAAUAGGAACAAGGUAGGAGGAAAGAUAUCCCACCAAAGACCACAGCCAUCACUCCUUGGAAAAAGAGAUCUUGGCUCUGAGCUCUCACUAGAUACAUAGAAGUCAACAAUAAAAUAAGGCCGGGGGCAGUGGCUCACGCCUGUAAUCCCAGCACUUUGGGAGGCUGAGGUGGGUGGAUCACUUAAGGUCAGGAGUUCGAGACCAUCCUGGCCUAGGUGAAACCUCAUCUCUACUAAAAAUAAAAAAGUUAGCUAGGCAUGGUGGCGGGUGCCUGCAGAAGACUGAGGCAGGAGAACUGCUUGAACCUGGGAGGCGGAGGUUGCAGCGAGCCAAGAUUGCAGCACUGCACCACUCCAGCCUGGGCAACAGAGUGAAACUCCG